rnacentral:rRNA from 1 species
AGGGUGUAAACGCUGCAGACUUGGUGUUGGGAACCCUUCGGGGUGCUCAGUGCCGGAGAGAAGUUGUUAAGUCUGCUACUUGGGGAGUACGUCCGCAAGGAUGAAACUUAAAGGAAUUGGCGGGGGAGCACCGCAACGGGAGGAGCGUGCGGUUUAAUUGGAUUCAACACCGUAAACUCACCAGGGAAGACUGUUACAUGAAAGCCGAGAUGAAGACUCUGCUAGAUUUUUCAGAGAGGAGGUGCAUGGCGUCAGUGACU